rnacentral:tRNA from 1 species
GAGGGUAUAGCUCAGUGGUAGAAUGCAUGCUUAGCAUGCACGAGGUCCUGGGUUCAAUCCUCAGUAUUUCCA